rnacentral:rRNA from 1 species
UACCUUGUUGCUUCGGCGGGCCCGCCGUUUCGACGGCCGCCGGGGAGGCCUUGCGCCCCCGGGCCCGCGCCCGCCGAAGACCCCAACAUGAACGCUGUUCUGAAAGUAUGCAGUCUGAGUUGAUUAUCGUAAUCAGUUAAAACUUUCAACAACGGAUCUCUUGGUUCCGGCAUCGAUGAAGAACGCAGCGAAAUGCGAUAAGUAAUGUGAAUUGCAGAAUUCAGUGAAUCAUCGAGUCUUUGAACGCACAUUGCGCCCCCUGGUAUUCCGGGGGGCAUGCCUGUCCGAGCGUCAUUGCUGCCCUCAAGCACGGCUUGUGUGUUGGGCCCCCGUCCCCCUCUCCCGGGGGACGGGCCCGAAAGGCAGCGGCGGCACCGCGUCCGGUCCUCGAGCGUAUGGGGCUUUGUCACCUGCUCUGUAGGCCCGGCCGGCGCCAGCCGACACCCAACUUUAUUUUUCUAAGGUUGACCUCGGAUCAGGUAGGGAUACCCGCUGAACUUAAGCAUAUCA